UUGAGGCUCAAAUGGAUUUGGGCAACCAGUCAGGGAUAUUACAGAGCUGGGAUUUGAACCUCCAUCUACCUGACCUCAGAUGUCACCCUCUUUUCGCCAUACUUUGUUACCCUGAGCAGUUGUGUUUGGAGCUGGGGCUGUACAAGGAGGAGGAGAAUGAGAAGAAAGAAGAUGGAGGAGCGGACAUCCUGCCUGGCGAGAUAACACAAGAUGCUGACCACUGGCCUUGGAUUGUCUGCCCAUAAAAUGAUGGAGUUGAACCCGAGGAUCCCCAAUGUAGGGUCCCAGGAAGAGAGAAGGUGACAGCAGAAUCUAAAAAGCCUUCUUAGCGUUAGAAUCAUGAAAUGUUAGUGCGAAAAAGAAUCAUCGGCUGAACCACCUUCCUUUAUGUCUUAAAGGGACCUCUCAGGAGGGUACCGUCCUUCAGAAACCGGUGAGCGUGGCUCCCCACAUCACCUCUGGCUCAGGGAACACGGAGCUGUGGAGAGAAUGCGGAC